AACAAUUUCUCAUCAUUCAGUUUAGGGGAUUCUGUAGGCCUUUCUAUCUGCUGUGCAGGCUCUAAAUAACGUUCUUUCUUCAGUGCCGGCUCUACAGAAACGUCUGUCUUGGCUGCCGGUUCUGUAGGCCUUUCCCUCUUGGCUGCAGGUUCUCUAGGCCCUUCUAACUUGACUGCAGAGGCUGCAGGUUCUGUAGGCCUUUCCCUCUUGGCUGCAGGUUCUCUAGCCCUUUCUGGCUUGGCUGCAGGUUCUCUAGGCCCUUCUAACUUGACCGCAGAUUCUUUAGGUCCUCCUAUCUUCUGUGCAAGUUCUUUAGGCCAUUCUAACCGACUCUUCACAUCAACAUAUUUAUCAAUAUAACACUUCAAAGCCCAGUGCUUGGCUUCAUCUUUUAU
rnacentral:lncRNA from 1 species